rnacentral:rRNA from 1 species
GACGGGUGAGUAAUGCUUAGGAAUCUGCCUAUUAGUGGGGGACAACAUCUCGAAAGGGAUGCUAAUACCGCAUACGUCCUACGGGAGAAAGCAGGGGAUCUUCGGACCUUGCGCUAAUAGAUGAGCCUAAGUCGGAUUAGCUAGUUGGUGGGGUAAAGGCCUACCAAGGCGACGAUCUGUAGCGGGUCUGAGAGGAUGAUCCGCCACACUGGGACUGAGACACGGCCCAGACUCCUACGGGAGGCAGCAGUGGGGAAUAUUGGACAAUGGGGGGAACCCUGAUCCAGCCAUGCCGCGUGUGUGAAGAAGGCCUUAUGGUUGUAAAGCACUUUAAGCGAGGAGGAGGCUACUUUAGUUAAUACCUAGAGAUAGUGGACGUUACUCGCAGAAUAAGCACCGGCUAACUCUGUGCCAGCAGCCGCGGUAAUACAGAGGGUGCGAGCGUUAAUCGGAUUUACUGGGCGUAAAGCGUGCGUAGGCGGCUUAUUAAGUCGGAUGUGAAAUCCCCGAGCUUAACUUGGGAAUUGCAUUCGAUACUGGUGAGCUAGAGUAUGG